AUUGAACGCUGGCGGCAGGCCUAACACAUGCAAGUCGAACGAGUGGCGGACGGGUGAGUAAUGCCUGGGAAACUGCCUGAUGGAGGGGGAUAACUACUGGACACGGUAGCUAAUACCGCAUACCAUCGGAUGUGCCCAGAUGGGAUUAGCUAGUAGGUGGGGUAACGGCUCACAUAGGCGACGAUCCCUAGCUGGUCGGAUAGGAGGACCAGCCCCACUGGAACGGAGACGCGGUCCAGACUCCUCCGUGAGGCAGCGGAGGGGAAAAUUGCACAAUGGACGCAGGCCUGAUGCAGCCAUGCCGCGUGUAGUAAGGGGGCCUGCGGGUUGUAAUGUACUUUCAGCGGGGAGGCGUUACCCGCAGAAGAAGCACCGGCUAACUCCGUGCCAGCAGCCGCGGUAAUUC
rnacentral:rRNA from 1 species